AUUGAACGCUGGCGGCAUGCCUUACACAUGCAAGUCGAACGGCAGCACGGUAACUUCUUGCUGUUGGGGAGUGCCGGACGGGGGAGGAUUACAUAGGCACCGGUAUCUACUUGGGCGUUAGGGCGACCGUAGGGGGACUAAUACUGCUACCGAACAACGGCUGAGAGUGAGGGCACGUGAGCUUCCGCGCUUGAGGGAUGGCCGGUGCCGAUGUCGGAUUAGCUAGUUGGCGGGGUAAAGGCCUACCAAGGCGACGAUCUGUAGCUGGUCUGAGAGGACGACCAGCCACACUGGGACUGAGACACGGCCCAGACUCCUACGGGAGGCAGCAGUGGGGAAUAUUGGACAAUGGGCGAAAGCCUGAUCCAGCAAUGCCGCGUGUGUGAAGAAGGCCUUCGGGUUGUAAAGCACUUUUGUCCGGAAAGAAAACCUGGGCCCUAAUACGGUCGGGGGAUGACGGUACCCGAAGAAUAAGCACCGGCUAACUACGUG
rnacentral:rRNA from 1 species